rnacentral:rRNA from 1 species
GAUGAACGCUGGCGGCGUGCCUAACACAUGCAAGUCGAGCGAACGGACGAGAAGCUUGCUUCUCUGAUGUUAGCGGCGGACGGGUGAGUAACACGUGGAUAACCUACCUAUAAGUCUGGGAUAACUUCGGGAAACCGGAGCUAAUACCGGAUAAUAUUUUGAACCGCAUGGUUCAAAAGUGAAAGUCGGUCUUGCUGUAACUUAUAGAUGGAUCCGCGCUGCAUUAGCUAGUUGGUAAGUUAACGGCUUACCAAGGCAACGAUGCAUAGCCGACCUGAGAGGGGGAUCGGCCACACUGGAGCGGGGACACGGUCCAGACUACUGAGGGACGGAGCAGUAGGGAAUCGGCCGCAAUGGGCGAAAGCCUGACGGAGCAACGCCGCGUGAGUGAUGGAGGUCUUCGGAUCGUAAAACUCGGUUAUUAGGGAAGAACAUAUGUGUAAGGAAAUGAGCACAGCUUGACGGUACCUAAUCAGGAAGCCACGGCUAACUACGUG